rnacentral:snoRNA from 1 species
GGUGUAAGUGACGCAUCUAUUAGUGACCAAAGUCUGAGUUUUGCUGAUGAGCCAUAAUUGACUGUGCCCU